AAAAGAUCAGAGUGGACAGUGAACAUACACACACUGAUAUCACACACCUGAAUAGUAAGUAUUGAAGAUAUUGAAAAAUCCAGUGUAGGGAUUCAUUUGAUU